GCCAAGUGACUCUAAUCUACCUUCUGCUGCCCCUCGCGUCCCAAAACGCAAGCGCGAAAAUCCCAUCUUUAGGGGGCUGCCACACGGAUUUCUUAGCGAUUCAGAUAAUGAGUCGAAGCGGGAAAGCGCGCGCACUAUCGCCGCGCUUAGGACUUCUGUGCGGUCACUACGUGGUGUAGUGGAAGAGCUUAAAGGCGAACUAGCUAACACCCGCGUGAAAUAUAUAGAGCUUAAAGACGACUUAGCCGCUGUACAAUUCGGUCUAACCAACCGGCUUGUCAAGGUGGCUCGGGCUGCGGGUGUAGAGCAUGUUCUAGACACAAACCGCAUCUAGUUCAAUUUUGCUUAGCCGAGUAAUUUAUUUUCCCUUUUAUUCAGAUUUCCUUCAUUUACUUUGUAAUCAAUGUCUCGGCUUAUAUUGAAUAAUAAAGAAGUCCUUUGUUUGAAUUAUUUUGUCUCCACUUGUUUUUGUAUUAUUUUUGUCUACUUGAGAAAAAUCAAAGAACAGGUACAAAAACAAGUGUGGGGGAGGAAUCGCCAUCAAGGUAAUCUUACAUAGAAAAAAAUUUCAGAAUUAUUUUUAUUACUCCUAUGACAAUUUAAAUCUGAUUUAUAUGAUAAAAAUAUUGCUAAUAAAAUAAAAAGAUAAAAAAAUAAAUGAAUACUCCAUUUCCUUUCUGCCUUUGAAAUUAAACAUCCAUACACUUUAUUCCUCGCCAAAAGCCUACCAUUUAUGAGCAACUUUUUAUAAGGACCCCAUUGCUUCUAAGUAAUUGAGAUUUGCGAUAUAGUUGGAUGAUUUGAAACUUUCUCACUUAUGCAAUGAACUUGGGGAUUUAUUUGAUAAAAUUAAAAUUGCAAAAAGUCUGCUCUUCAAUGAUAGAUAAUUACCUACCAAGGCCAAAUUAAUUACUCUUGAUAAAAAUUCUACAAAUAGCUGCUUAUUUGUUCUGAGUUGUGUCAAGUCUUGUUGACCCUUGUUAAGAGAUUUAGCAUGCUCUCAAGAUCAAGAUCACGUACACUCCAGAUACAUAUAUAUGCCGCUUCUACACUGGGAGUGCGCAAAAACAUGCCUUACAUGUCCACCAUACAAACACUCCAUGUUUUAAAGAAUGAUCUCUCUAGUGCAUCUUAGAUAAAGACAUGGGCUAUGCAAAAAUAUAUAUAUAUAAAAAAAGAGAAAAAAAAUAGGCAAGUGCCCGCCAUAGAAUUAGGGGUAUAAAAAUACCCACCUGAAAAAAAAUAUAGGACACAUGAAGGUCCUAAGUAUACAAAAAAAGAUGAGCACAUCAAGGCUCACAAGAAAAUAAAAGAGUUAUGAUAGCCAUGUCUAGAAAUACUUGAUCAGAUCAUAUCAACCAACGGAGUUGUUUAUACCAUAUACCACACACUUGCACAUCUUGAUCUAAGGGUAUGACACUUCUCUUCUUGGAUCCGAGAUUUGACUCGACAAUACAUACAAGGUAAGUAUGCAUUCUCCUUGGUCCAUACCCAAAACUCCAAAUACAGCUUAUAGAGGUAGGACAAAUCAAGAGGUACUUUUACCUUGGUAAGGAACCAGAAACAUUCUCGAGUGAUUUGAGAGUAUCAUCUAAAGAGCAAGACUAUUUUUAUUCAAAAAGGUAAAAACCCAAGUUUUGAGCAAAGUUGAGUAAGAAGAUUUGAAUCCUAACUAUUCCAUUUUUCAAUUACUCAAGAUGUUUUGGUAGACACUCUGAAUGCUCAUAAGUUCAGGUGACGCUUGGAAUAGUUUGUAUGCAGGUUCAUUAGCAGGAGAAGUGGAACCAUCUUAGCCCAAAAACAUAAGCUUUACUCGAGGACGAGCAAAGGGCUAAGUGCGGGGGAGUUUGUGGGUGUUUCUUAAAAUACACUUUUCAUACCGCCAACAUGCAUACAAACUCUAUAAAAUAUCACCAAACAUUAGAAAUAGGGCUUUUUUAUGCUAACCAAAUUCCACAGUUUUGGUGAACACAUGUGUAUGCAGGACACUAGGGUUUGAGCCGCCAAAAUCAAAGAAUUGAAGGCACAUUUAAUUCAAAUACAGAAGUGCAUCGAAAUCUAAUUGGAUUCAAACUCAGAAGGCCGAGGAGCAUCGUUUGGGCUUUGGGC
rnacentral:lncRNA from 1 species